GUAAAUGGUCUGGUGCAAUGCAGAUUGCAUUAAGACGGGCAGCGAUGUCAUAUAUGAAAACUGUGGACGAUUCUUACAUUGGGAGCUCUGAUGAGGAUUCUUUUCUGGUUGCUCAAUAUCACUACCGAUUGUUAUCAUAUUACUUAUACAAGCAAGGAAAGUAACUACUUGAAAGGAGCAUUCCAUGUAUAUAGACAAUGUUUUCCCUCUUUACAGGUGAUGUAUUAUUUAAAAGAAAUAGAAAUGAUUCCCCUGGGCCGCUUAUGUUUUAUUGAACUCUUGAUUAACAUUUUUUUAUGUACAGUUUGUAUGCGUAUAUAAUCCUAUAUAUGCUUAUGUAUGCCGCAAAUAUAUACUUCUGGAAGCACUGCAGAAUCAACUACUCCUUCAUAUUUGGUUUUAAUCAAGGAACUGAAUUAAGCUACUAGGAUGUAUUCCUCUUUAGCACGGGUCUUGCAGUAUAUGCCCAUAUACCACCAACAAUCCACUACCAAUUCGGGUUCCAGGUUUGUUACUUUCUUUAAAAUUAUUUGUUCUAGACCAAAUAUACAACAUAUUAUUCUUUUAUUAUUAUUGUUAUAUGUAUUCUCCUAUUUUUUAGAUGGUGACAUAUAUAAAUGUAGGUAAUAAAGUUGCUACAAAUCAAGACCAUAAUAUGAAGAUGCAUAUAAAAGACUUAUAAGAAAGUCGAACAUCGUCAAGAAGAAUUUGCAUAUGAUGAAGAAGGUGUGACAGAAUACUGUGGUAUGGGGAGGGGAUCCAUCAGAAGUCAUAUACUCGG